GUACACGCUGUGACUAGCAUAUCAAUAAGCGGAGGAAAAGAAACUAACAAGGAUUUCCCCUAGUAACGGCGAGUGAAGCGGGAAGAGCUCAAAUUUGAAAUCUUAAAGGGUUUCCCUUUACGAAUUGUAGUUUAAAGAAGUGUUUUCUGUUGAGGUUUUGGUAAAAGUUCUUUGGAAUAGGACAUCAUAGAGGGUGAGAAUCCCGUAUUUGACCUUUACUUUCAACUUUGUGAUACACUUUCAAAGAGUCGGAUUGUUUGGGAAUGCAGUCCAAAAUGGGUGGUAAAUUUCAUCUAAAGCUAAAUAUUGGCGAGAGACCGAUAGCGAACAAGUACCGUGAGGGAAAGAUGAAAAGAACUUUGAAAAGAGAGUUAAACAGUACGUGAAAUUGUCAAAAGGGAAGCGUUUGACACCAGUGUUGUUUUUCUGAAAAUCGAUUAAAGAACUGUUUAUGCUAAGCUGUUUAGACUUUAUCAGCUAUCUGUUUAGUUUUGAGCUUUUCUUUAAUGCACUUUUCAGUUAACAAGUCAACAUCAAUUUCUUUUGCUGUAAAAAAGCUUGAGGAAGGUGGCUUGAGAUUCGUCUUAAGUGUUUAUAGCCUCUUGCCUAUGCAGUCGGAGAGAUUGAGGUCUGCAGCGUAGAUCCUUCGGGGCUAAAUGCAUUUGUGCUAAGUUAUAGCAUUUUAUAGACAACUUGUUGACUAUGAUUUGUCUUGUAGCUUACUCGCUUAUGUUAUUUUACCUACGCUUAGGAUGUUGAAGAUGUAGCACAUCAU
rnacentral:rRNA from 1 species